rnacentral:pre_miRNA from 1 species
UGACCUACAGCCUGAUCCAAAGCCCAGUGAGGUCAAUGGGAGUCUUUCCAUUGAUUUCAGUGGGUUUUGGAUCUAGAACUUACA